UACGAACGCUGGCGGCGUGCUUAACACCUGCAAGUCGAGCGGAGCGGCGAACGGGUGAGUAACGCGUGAGUAACUGCCCCCCUCUCUGGGAUAACAGUUGGAAACGGCUGCUAAUACCGGCUAGUGGGGGAUGACUCGCGUCCAAUCAGCUUGUUGGUGGAGUAGUGGCUUACCAAGGCUACGACGGGUAGCCGGCCUGAGAGGGCGACCCUCCACAUUGGGCUGAGAUACGGGCCAAACUCCAACGGGAGGCAUGAGUGGAGAAUAGUGCACAAUGGGGGAAACCCUGAUGCAGCAACGCCGCGUGCGGGAUGACGGCCUUCGGGUUGUAAACCGCUUUCAGCCAUGACGCGGUAGUGGCAGAAGAAGCACCGGCUAACUACGUGAAAGCAGCCGCGGUAAUUC
rnacentral:rRNA from 1 species